UGGAAAUGAGGUAAAAGCCAUGGCAAGGCCAGAAUGUUCAGCCUCCAUUCGUGAAGGGCGAUAAAUCAUUUAUGGUGGACCAGCUACAUCACACCCCGGACACCGAGGGAUACCCCCUUGUCCUAAGUGCAACAAGUUACACAAGGAGUGUGAGAGCUGAAACCCAAAUUGUUUCACUUGUGGAAAACCGGGCAUUACUCGAGCCAGUGCCCCAACCGACAGCAGGGGAUGAGUGGAGGAAGACCCAAUCAGUUUCCAACCCCACAGCUCAGGGCAAUGGAAGGAAUUCUUCCUCUACCUCAACCACUACAGCAACAACCUUUUCGCCGUCCAAACAGCCUCAUAAGCAGCUACCUGCACCGCAAGCAGGAAGACCACCGCAAUAUCAAAGGAUGUAUGCUAUCAAUCAGAAGAAUCAGGAUAAGAACAAGGAAACCUAACAGUAUUGGGGAACUGAAAGGUGUACCCAUUGUUAUUCUCUUUGAUACGGAGCAUCACAUUCUUUCAUCUCAUAUACCUGUGUGGAUACGUUAGAGCUGAAUGUAGAACCAGCCCAGCUACACUUAAGGGUAGCCACUCCCUUAGGAAGAUCACCACCGUUACACAUGUGUGUCCUAACUUGGAAUUCGAAUUAGGACCUCUUAAGCUUAAGGCUAAGACGUUGAGACUUCUGCGCAUGUGGACCACAGACAUCAUUUUGGGAUGGACUGGUUAGCAGAACACCAUGCGUGAUACAGUGCGAACAGAGACGGAUAUCAUUCCAGCCACCAGGCGAGGAACCUACAUGUUUUUAUGCCAUCAAUAGAAAAUGGAAGAAGACACCUAUCAUCUCUGCAGUGCAAGCGAACAAGAUACUAAAAGAAAAGGGCGCGACAGCAUAUUUAGUAUACUUGAACCAAGAAGAGGAAGCACAAAUAAAGAUUGAAGAUGUACCUAUAGUGCGGGAGUAUCAAGACGUUUUCCCUGAUAUUCUACCAGGUCUACCCCCGAACCGACAAUUGGAAUUCACGAUCGAUUUGGAGCCUGGAGCAGCACCAAUAUCCAAAGCACCAUAUAGGAUGGCACCAGCAGAAUUGCAAGAACUGAAGUUGCAACUACAAGAGUUGUUGGAAUGGGAUUCAUUCGACCCAGUGCUUCGCCUUGGGGAGCACCGGUCCUGUUUGUCAAAAAGAAAGAUGGAAGUUUAAGAUUGUGCAUCGAUUACCGGGAAUUGAACAAGGUGACCCUAAAGAACAAGUAUCCUUUGCCACGUAUAGACGAUUUGUUUGAUCAACUUCGAGGAGCACGCGCUUUCUCAAAGAUAGAUUUAAGGACAGGGUAUCACCAAUUGAGGAUACGACCUGAGGAUAUUCCAAAGACAGCAUUCCGCACGAGAUACGGACACUAUGAGUUCAUAGUGAUGCCUUUUGGAUUAACAAAUGCCCCCGCCGUAUUCAUGGAUCUCAUGAAUCGAGUGUUUCACGAAUACUUAGAUCAAUUCGUGUUGGUAUUCAUAGACGACAUCUUGAUUUACUCAAAGAAUGAGAAGGAUCAUGAAGAGCACCUUAGAACUGUGCUAGAGAAGCUAAGAGCUGAAAAGCUUUAUGCUAAGUAUAGCAAAUGUGAGUUUUGGCUACGAGAAGUCAAUUUCUUAGGCCACGUCAUUUCAGCUGCAGGAAUCAAAGUGGAUCCUGCCAAAGUUCAAGCAGUGCAAGAAUGGAGAUCACCAACGACACCUCACGAAAUUCGUAGCUUUCUAGGAUUAGCAGGCUACUACCGUCGUUUUAUACAAGAUUUCUCCAAAAUAGCCAAGCCUAUAACUCAUCUGCUCAAGAAAGAAGUCAAAUUCUUGUGGACGAACGAGUGUGAGCAAAGCUUUCAAGAAUUGAAGAAGAGAUUGACUACUGCCCCAGUACUAGCCGUUCCAGAAGCAAACAAAGAAUAUACUAUCUAUACAGACGCAUCAAAGAAAGGACUAGGAUGUGUACUGAUGCAAGAGGGAAAGGUAAUAGCUUACGCCUCGCGACAGCUUAGGCCACAUGAAGCAAAUUACCCGACGCAUGACUUGGAGCUAGCAGCAGUAGUACACGCAUUGAAAAUUUGGAGACACCACCUUUAUGGAGUACGGUGUGAAAUUUACACCGACCAUAAGAGUCUCAAAUAUUUCUUUGAGCAAAAGGAUCUGAAUAUGAGACAAAGAAGAUGGCUAGAAUUAGUCAAGGACUAUGAUUGUGGAAUCAAUUAUCAUCCAGGCAAGGCCAACGUCGUGGCAGAUGCCUUGAGUAGAAUGGAACGAGGAAAGUUAGGAUGUAUCCUAACCAAGGAGAAUGACUUGGUCAGAGAAUUCGAAAGGUUAAGGUUGGAAGUGGUAUUUCCACCGCAAACCACAGAUUUGAUCAUGGCGACACUCAGUGUUACCCCCGAUCUAAGAUCAAGAAUUGUUAGUAUGCAAAGAGAGGAUGAGAAAUUAGAAAGAUUGCGGUGAAAAUCCGUACCGAGAAGCUUGAUUCAUAUCAAGAAGCAGCAGAUAAUGCAUUGAUGUUUGAGGGAAGAAUCUGUGUACCCAAUAAUGAGAAAUUAAGAAAUGAAAUCAUGAGCGAGGCUCAUGACACGCCUUACGCAGCACAUCCAGGAGGUACGAAGAUGUACCAAGAUUUAAAAGCAAGAUUUUGGUGGGAAGGCAUGAAGCGAGACAUAGCUUCAUUUGUAGAACGAUGUUUAGCUUGUCAGCAAGUGAAGGCGUUGCACCAACGACCUUAUGGCAAAUUACAACCGUUAGAAAUCCCAGAAUGGAAAUGGGACCACAUUGCCAUGGACUUUGUCACUGCUUUGCCAAAGUCGAAUAGAGGGAAUACCGCCGUUUGGGUGAUCAUAGAUAGAUUGACGAAAAGUGCUCACUUCAUACCGAUUCCUAUUACGCAUGGAUCUGAAAAGUUAGCUCAAAUAUACAUUCGUGAGAUAUCGUUUGCACGGAGUUCCAAUGACGAUUACCUCCGAUAGAGAUACAAAAUUCACCUCACGUUUUUGGAUGAGCUUACACAGGGAAUUGGGUACUAAGUUGAAUUUUAGCACAGCUUUCAUCCACAGACGGAUGGCAGUCGAAAGAACUAUACAAGUUUUGGAAGAUAUGAUUCGGACUGUAGUGUUAGAUAGAGGAGCUCAAUGGGAACAAGUGUUACCCCUGAUUGAAUUUGCCUACAAUAAUAGUUUCCAAACGACUAUUAACAUGGCACCAUAUGAAGCCCUCUAUGGAAGAAAAUGUAGUCUCCGCUUAUUGGGAUGAAGUAGGAGAAAGAAAAGUGUUAGGUCCUGACGCAGUGGAAAAAUGAUCACACUGUGAGACAAAUUCGGCAACGAAUUAAAGAAGCUCAAGAUCGCCAAAAAUCUUAUGCCGACACUAGACGCACAGAGAUUCAAUUUGAAGUGGGAAGUAAAGUCUUUUUGAAAGUUUCCCCUUCUCGAGGGAUUCACCGAUUCGGUAUAAAAGGAAAGCUCAAGCCUAGAUUUUAGGCCCAUAGACUAUUGAAAAAGUAGGCCCUGUUGCCUAUAGACUCGCGUUACCUCCAAAUUUCGCGAAUGUUCACAAUGUCUUUCACGUGUCCAAUUGAGAAAAUACGUGUUUGACCCGAAGCAUGUUAUUCAUCGAGAGGAUAUAUCUCUUGAACCGGACCUGAAAUAUGAAGAAAGACCGAAGCUGUGUUGGAUAGAAAGAUCCAACAAUUGAGAAAUAAGUCAAUUGCCUUGGUCAAAAUACAAUGGAGACAUCACGGGCAAGAAGAACAACUUGGGAAUUGGAGGAUAAAAUGAAGAAAAAUAUCCAGAAUUGUUUCCCGAAGGUGAGAUUUCAAAUUUCGGGACAAAUUUUUUUUAAGGGGGUAGGAUGUAACACCCCGUAUUUUGAGAAGCUAUUUGUGCCCUAGCUCGAAUUUAAAUUGAGUUUUUAAAUAGUAGCUAGAGAAUUAUGCACGUGGGCGAAUAAUGAGAUAAGAAUUAUUUUGAGAGUUUAUAGGAGGCGAUAUUAUUUUCUCGGGUCUUAUAAAUUCUAUUUGAGAAACCUAUCUUGCCCUAUUUUUUGUAGUUGAAAUGUCUAUGUGAUAUAAUAUUUUACUGGUAGAAUUUCACAUAUGAUUUAUUGAGCAUUGUUAUUAUGAUAUUAGUAUAUCAUAAUUGAGAAAAUUUUCCUCACAUGAAUAUAUAUAUAUUUUCUGAGAAUAUAUUCCACACACUAAAUAAGAGUUAUAAUUAUCAAGAUUAUAUAUAAUAUAUUUAUUUUUCACUCACUCCUCUCGAUCUCUCUUCCUCUCUCCUCUCUCUCUCGAUCUCUCUUCCUCCUCCCUCCUCUCUCUCCUCUCUCUCUCACUCUCUCUCUCUUCUCUCUUCCUCACUCCUCCUCUCAUUCGCACUAGCUCCCUCCCCACUCUCCCACAUUACUCUCUUCUCUUUCCCAUAAUGAAGAACACAUGCACAUUAAAACCCCUAAAAGGCUAAUCUAACUAGCCAACAUCAUUCCUCACACACUUUAAGCUCACAAGCACAUGCACACCUCUCUCUCAUCUCCCUCCUCUCUCUUCUCAUUUCUUCUUUAUUUUAGCAGCCCUCCUCCUCCUCUUCACUUCCACCUACACUUCUUUUCUUGUUCCACCAAAUAUAGUAAGAACAAAGGUUUCUUAAAGUGUUCAUCUUCAAGCUCAAGCUCCAAGAAGACUACGCAUCAUCCUCUACUCCACCUCCAUUGAUCUUGUUGGUAGCAACCUCAAUCCUCCUCUUAUGUUAUAUAUAUAUUUUCAUGAUGUAUAAGCAUGUAUAUUGAAGCAUAUUGAAGCAUGAUAGUCCCCUCUCUACUCUUAUGAUUUUCGAAAAUUAUGAUGAAGGGAAGUAUUAUGAACUCCUUCAAACUUUCACUACUUUUCAUAUGCUUAUACCCUUCUUCAUGUUAGAUGCAUGAGAAUGAAAGAUAUAUUUCUUGAAAACCCUUAAGAGGGUUAUAUGUCAUGAUAGUUGAAGCAUGAUGAGUUAUUAGUGUAAAAAUGCAUGAGAAUGGUGAUGAAAGUAUAGAUCUAAGGUGAUAUGUGCAUAUGUGAUAGUUUCAACCAUUUUGAGAAGUUUUAUUACGUUCUGGACAGAUCAGUCGACGAGGUUUCCCUCGUCCAAAAAUCUUCAAAAUUUUACAGAGUGUAGAUAUAUGUGUCUUGAGGACGCUGGUAAAAUUUCAAGUCAUUUGGACUUCGUUUACUACCGUUUUAAAAUAUAAAUCUUUUACUGCGCAUUUCCGCCGGAAAUUUAGAAAGGCAGUCCCUAGAGUCACACUUUUCAGUGAAUUUCAAAAAUAUUCAGCCUCCAAAAUUUUUAUGGUAGAAAGAUACAUGUGUUAUAUAGAUGCACAUAAAAUUUCAAAGCAUUUGGACAACGUUUACUAUUUUUCAAAAAUCCUAGCUUCCAGUCGUGCAAAACUGCCGAAUCUGGUAGACUGUGGGAAAACACCCAUAUCUCUUAAACCACUUGGAGUUUUUCACUCUACUUUUUUUAAACGAAACUAGACUCAAAGAGGUUUUCAUCGGUAUAAGUCUCGAAUCCAGGAGGUUCCUGAGUUAAAGCAGUUUAUUCGUUAAAGUUGAGACAGAACAGAAUGUUAAACUGGUAGUGUCCGAAAAUUUUACCUUGAUUUUGUGUUAAGAAUUUUUAAAGAGCUUUGGUGGAAUUAUACACCAUGAUAUGGCAUGAAAAUGCUACUAGAAAGUUUUAUAAAUAUUUUUCAAGGCUUACAUGAAUAUUUGAGAAUUUCCCUUCAAGGAAAAAGAUUUCAAGUUCAUAGAAUGACUUUUAAGUCAUUUGACUAUUGAGAUAAUUCAUUUAUAUUAUGUGAAAUAUUUGUUUAUUUGAAGCAUGAAUGAUUAAGUGAUUUUUGAAUGCUAUUUACCUAGGAUUGAGAGUCUUUUAAUUGGAUAAGAUAUCCAAUUAAAUUGGGAGGUCCAAUUGGGUAAAUAGUGGAGAAGUUAUAAGAUGAGAUUAAGCAUUGAUGCAAGUAUAAGUAUUAGAUAUUAGUUAGAUUAAAUUCUAACUAGAGUUUAUUUUGUCACAUGGCAAUCUAAACCACGUGCGCCACCAAAGGUUCGAGUGACGGCCGGCGUUAGUACGACUCUGAGCGUUACGUCAUCGACCCCUGAGACAGGUGGGCUUUAUUCUAACUCUAUUAUGGCUAGCUACCAUGAUAAUGAGUUCAAAUGCAAAAUCUUAUGAAAAUGAAGCAUGUUGAAGCAUUAUUGAUGAAUCUUAUGAAAAUGAAGCAUGUUGAAGCAUUAUUGAUGAGUAUUAUGAAAAUUGUCAACUUGCCAUAUUUAUUAUUGAUGAGAAUGAGAUAUGGUAUGUUGCCUCUAUGAAAGACAUGAUUAUGAUCAUGAUGCAAGAUAUCGGCCUUUAACUGAUUUAUAUGACAGUAAAGGUUUUGUGCGCAGAGGUGAUCGUGAGCCGUCUCUAGUCGGCCGGUCACGGUGAUUUGAAGGAGGCCUCCUUCUCUUCACCUAGUAUAUAUAUGUUAUAUGAGUUCUCAUAGUUGGCACAUACCGUGAAUAUAUAAUGUCUGCAGACUAAUGAUAUUAUUAUGAUGAUGCAAAUGAGUUUAUGAUGAUGCAAAUGAGUUUAUGACAGAAAAACAUGAACAGGUAUUUCAAAUCUCAUAAAAUCCUGUUGAUGCAUUGAAAAGGGCAAGAUUGACAUAUAGCUCUAAGAGCAACAUUUCAAUUAUUUCCGGCAUGAGUCCACUGAGUGCUUUUUGGUACUCAGCCCUGCAUGUAUUUCUAAAUGUGCAGGUCUGGCUUGGCGCGAGGAUGGGUGAAGGCUGUUGGAAUUGUCAGUUGGCUGUGUCUUUCCUAUGUCUCAUAUUUAUCUUUAUAAGCUUUGACUCUAUAAGAAUUUGAACUCCCUGCUAUAUGUCUUCACACAUAUAGUAACGCAUCUCGCUGCAUAACUCUGAUGAAACUCUUUAUUUAAUUUGCUUAUGUCUGUAAUAUCCCUUAAGGGAAAUACUUCUCAGACCCUUGCUAAGUUUCAAUGGCUUAAUUAUGUUUACCCAAGCUAGUAAUUAUUUUGGUCUUGAAAUCCUUCUUUAAAAUGAGUAAAGUUUGCAAUUGCUUCCGCUAAAACAAGAUGUAUUCCUAUUUCUUUCACUAUUUCUUUUAUUAGUCGUACGAUACUUGGUAUACGCUAUCACUGGCUAUAUCGGGCUGCGACAGAGAGUGUAUGGCUAAGCUUAUUUAAGAGCUUAUAAGCUCCAACAACUUAUAAAAUAUUAUAAGAGCUUAUAAAAUGUAGUUUCUUAAAAGCUUAUAAGUUGUCAAGUAUCUAAAUAUCUGAGCUUAUAAGUUAGAAAGAUAAUUUUUAGUUAAAGAUAGAAAAUCAAAGAGAGAUGAAAUUAUAAUAAUAUAUCAUGAAAAUAAAAAAUCAUAUAUAGUUAAAUUAUUUUUGUAAAAUUAGUGUUGCUUAUAAGAAUAAGAAAAUAAGUUGGGGGUAGAGGAAUUUAUUAUUUUGGGAGAUUAUAAGCUCUAAGACCUUAAUUUUACAGCUUAUAAGCUGUUGGGAACUUAUUGAAAUAUCCUAAUCCUUGUUUUGAUGAUACGAAUCCAUAGGCCUUAACUGUAAUAGACUAGAACUGUUCGAACUCAAGUGUUAGAGUUCUUUUCUAGUUUAGUUUGCUGUUCUGAAGACUGAAGGACGAAGGACUGAAGACCGAAGACUGAAGUUACCAACUGAAGUAUCAGUUGAAGAAUCAGUUGAAGAAUCAGUCCGGAACUGAUUACUUAAUGCGUGCCACGUGGAUUCAGCGGACUGAUACUAAAGUCAAGUAUCAGUUAAACAUUAUUCCUCGGACUGAACCUCCAACGUUCAAAGGAAACCAAGUACUCCAAAAAUACAGCCGCAUUAAAUGCAGAGAUCUUAGGAUCAUCCCUCUCUGCAGAGGUCAUUCCUAUUUGGUGGCUACUUUAUCAGAGACGUCACAUCUCCUGCUCUUCAACAUAGUCGUUCUCACCAAACAAGGAACCUCGAAGAUUGAAGCCUCAGCCCAAAUUCGAAAAGCUCUCCAACGGAAGAAAUCUUGAAGACGUUCUCCGCCAACGGAUCUAUUCAAGACCUCUCCUAUAAAUAGUGCUCGAGGAUCAGUUCAAUCUUCACCGAUUCAACGACAUAAGCUGAAACUCUGCCAAAAUUGUUUCUCAGCCAAAGCUUAACCUCUCCAAAGCUUGAAUCGAAGAAGAGAAUACCAAAGCCAAAAAUCAUUCACUACUGAUUACAUACAUUCUCUUAGACCUUAGGCAAACCUCUAUUUACCCAAAGCCUAGGUCAAAACUAACUCCAAAGAACUUGUUCUUUGAAGUUUAGUUGGCAAGAUUUCAAACCUCCCUUCGAGAGAUAGAAUCGAGUGUUUGAGUUGAAAAGGAGUUCAGGAAGGUACUCUGACUCCGUGAGAUCCUAGUGCAGGUUCGUGCUAGGAGUGAGAAAUCCAGCGCGAGUGAAGUGUUGAUACUGAAGAUUAGAUCUUCAGUUGAUUCGGUUGUGUGCACCCGGCUAAGCACACUGAUAGGUUUGCAGUGCACCAGUUAAGCACUUGCGGAGUAAAGUUAUUGGUCUGAUCAACCGACCGUGGAUGUAGGAAGUGUUUUCCGAACCACGUAAAAAUCUCUGUUUUGUUUACAGCUUUCAGUUUUACAUUAUUACUUGUGCUCUUUCAAUUGAUAAACUGAACACUGACUAAAUGCAAAGAAAAACCUAAGACUAACAACGUGCUCAACAAAGGCUAUUUCGAAACAAAGUUAUUUCCGCUGCGUAUGUUAUUAGUCUGACUGAUCUAUCCUCUGAUAGUCAGGAAGACUUGUAACAUCUUUGUUUUAGCAAACUCGACUGAAGCCUUAACGUGCAUCAGUUAAGUUCCAAUGACUUAACUGAUAACUCUUUACUGAAGAGUAUUUCAGUAUCAGUCGUCAACCCUGUUUGGUUAAAACUCCUUUCAGUUAACAGGUGUCUAAGUUUGCGUGUAAAGUUUCAUUUUGAUCUCUAUCUUGAGAUCCCUCUGUUUGAGGAAAAAUAGCCUAUAGGUGUAUUUCCCCCUCCCCAUACACCUAUUCGAGACCCUCCGGACCUAACAAUUGGUAUCAGAGCAGGUUGUUCGCAAGAACACUCUGUUUCUGAUUAGGUUCUAAUUGAACUAGAUCAUUUUUCUCAACGGUCUCGAAAAACUUUUCUCUUUCUAAAGAGUGCUUGCUAUUUGCUCUAUCUGUUGUUACCUGUUCUCUCUUUUUUGAUGGAGACUAACCACAACAGAUUAUUCUCUCUACCUAUGCUCAGUAUUGAAAAAUACGACAUAUGGAAGUUUCGGCUUGAAAGCUUCCUCACCGCACAACAUUGCCGAAUGUGGGAAGUCAUCACCAACGGACCAAUCAUCAUCACCGAAACCGUCAAAAGAGUUCCCGUUGACCCGAAUCGGGAUUCAUACGAUGAGGUCCAGAUCAAGCAGAAGGCAGACUUCACCACAGAAGAAUGGAAGCAAGAUGAGCUAGACAACCUCGCCAAAAGCAUCACCUCCGACACAGUUCCAGACAAGCAUGUCACCAAGAUCAUCAAGUGCAAAAGUGCAAAGGAGAUGUGGGACACUCUUGAAAGAAUGUGCGUAGGAUCCGAGGAAAUCAAGGAGAACAAGCUGUCCAUAGCUUGCCAGAAGUUCGACUCCUUCCUUAUGCUCAAGAAUGAAUCUGUCGACGAGAUGGAACUCAGAUUCAAUCAGAUCCUGAAUGAAGUUCAAUCCAUCUCGAAGGACAAAUACACUCAACGAGAAAUCAACCUGAAGAUUCUUCGAGCACUUCCGUGAGGAGAUUGGCAGAUCUAUUCAGUUGCUCAUUAGAACAAGCCUGGAUUCAGUCAGCUCCCAACAAACAAGCUCUUCUCUGACCUCUUGGCAAAUGAGUUCGACAUCCAGAGAAAUCUUGGAAUGAAGAAGGCUGGAGGAUCAGACGAAGAUGGUCCAUCAACCUCAAGAGGAGCAGCACUGAAAGCUUCAGCAAGAGAAAGCAAGAAGCAGACGAAGGAACCAGCGGAACUCAAGCCCGAUGACUUCUUCAGUCAAUAUGCUUUGUUGACUGAAAGAUUCAACAAGAUGGAGUCCAAAUUCUGCAAGUACAGAAGGUUCCACAGGCAGCACUACAAAGGAAAAGAAAGAGAAAGCAACUCCAGACAUUCCACUGAUCGAAGCGGAGAAAGAAAGUCAGCCGCCUUCGACAUGAAAGAUAUGGAAUGCUUUGGAUGCAAAAAGAAAGGGCACUUUCGAACUGAAUGCCCUGAACUGACACUGUCUGAGCGCAAAGAGCUGAAAGCCAAGAAAGAUCGCAAGUAUACGAAGAAGAAAGCGAUGGUUGCUGACGAUGCUGGAUCUUCCGAAGACACAUCAGAAUCAUCCGACUUCAACUCUACCAGCUCAGAUGAUGAAAGCCAAGCCCUGAUGGCCAACAAAACUGAAAGCGUGGCUGACAACAGCUACGACAAUGGAAUGAAUGGCUCAGAGGUAAACUCUCACUCAAAAACUCCUUAUACUGAUAAUUCCCUGGUGUUUUCAGGAGAUCAUUCAGGAUCUGGAGAAAGCUCAGCCGAUGAAACUGAAGAGUUCGAUCAGCUCAUGAUUGAUCACUGUCAGUUGAGGAAAAUGUUCGAAGAUCUCCUCAAGCAGAAUCAGAUAAUGGAAAAUGAGAUCAAUGAUGAACGAUCCAAGAAUCAGACAAUCAUCUACUUUCCGGAUGAAACUUGUCUUGAUCAACUAAUCAUGGAGAACAGUCGACUGGAAGAAAAGCUCAGAAUCUCCAACUCAGAAUCUCCAACUCAGAAUGUGACAGAGUAUCUCAUGAAAUCAAAAGGCUCAAUCACAAACUGGAAGAAACAGUCAAGGACUGCAUGAUGAAGUCUCCCAUGAUGAGCAACUUUCCAUCAAAAGGCCUUGUUGAAAGCAUCGGAUGAAAGGUUGCUGCAACUGAUAAAGGAAAGAAUAUCAUGAUCAACGCAGUGGACGACACUUCUAAAAAUAACUCAUCAGAAGAAUCAAGAGAUCAUGAUAUGGAUGAAGUUCGGAAACGCAAACUGAUGGCAAGGACGAAUGUUCCUCUUCCACGAAGCUACAGACGAGCAAAGGAGGCCCCUAACCAGAUCAUCCUACUUAGAAGACUGGAAAGCAGAUUUCAGUUAUAGAUUGGGCAAGGAACAUCAGGAACCAAGAAGAAUCUUCCUCACCAGUCCAGGGGGAAGAACAACAACAUCAGUCAGAAACUGAAAUUAGUUCAGUUCCAAAAAGAACAACAUCCAUGGAGACAAAGCAAUGAUAGGUCCAGACGAGCCAAAUCAUAACGACAAGCGACUGGACAUCAUGUGACUCAUGUUCCAUGACAUCAGUCAAGUCUCCAUCAGUCUAGAAUAACUCAAGUAUCUCAAGGAAGAUACUUUGUAGAGCAAAGAAGACCUCAACAACUCAUCAGACAAAGCUUCUACAAGAGUGAGGUUUUCAAUAGGAAAGCUCAACAGAAGAAUGCUCAUGUGCCGACUAAAGCGCCAACCAGACAACCAACAAAGCGCAAGAGAUCAUCACCAAGAUCUGUUCUGAAGCAGAUAUGGGUUCCAAAAGGAACACGAGCUAACAUUGAAGGACCCAAACAUUGAUUGGGUAUCUAAAAUUAACUCUUUCUUGUAGGUCAAAAACAGGAAACAUAAAAAGAAGGAAGAAGUUAAAGCUUCAAUCAGAACAUGGUAUCUGGAUAGCGGCUGUUCGAAGCACAUGACGGGCUACAAAGAAUACCUAACUCAAUAUAUUGAGAAAGCUGGAUCAAAAGUUGCAUUCGGAGACAACAAAAGGCUAUGGUGUGCUCGACAUGGGUAACGCCAGUAUCAGUAAUGUUAGCUUUGUUUAUGGUCUUAAACAUAAUUUGUUGUCUGUGAGUCAAUUUUGUGACAGCGGUUUCGCAGUGAAGAUAAAAAAUGAUGAAUUCACUGUUAAAAACAAUAAAAGAAAUGUGGUUCUGAGAGAAAUCAGACAAGGAAGUCUCUACGUCGUCUCAUGGGAAGACAGCCCUCCAGAAACAUGUCUCAUCAGCAAAAGUAGCUCGAAGCUCAACUGGCUGUGGCACAGGAGACUUGAGUUCGAACAGUUCUAGUCUAUUACAAUUAAGGCCUAUGGAUUUUGGUAUCAUUAAAACAAGGAUUAGGAUAUUUCAAUAAGUUUCCAACAACGACAUAAGCUGAAACUCUGCCAAAAUUGUUUCUCAGCCAAAGGUUAACCUCUCCAAAGCUUAAAUCGAAGAAGGGAAUACCAAAGCCAAAAAUCAGUCACUACUGAUUACAUACAUUCUCUUAGACCUUAGGCAAACCUCUGUUUACCCAAAGCCUAGGUCAAAAUUAACUCCAAAGAACUUGUUCUUUGAAGUUUAGUUGGCAAGAUUUCAAACCUCCCUUCGAGAGAUAGAAUCGAGUGUUUGAGUUGAAAAGGAGUUCAGGAAGGUACUCUGACUCCGUGAGAUCCUAGUGCAGGUUCGUGCUAGGAGUGAGAAAUCCAGCGCGAGUGAAGUGUUGGUACUGAAGAUUGGAUCUUCAGUUGAUUCGCUUGUGUGCACCCGGCUAAGCACACGGAUAGGUUUGCAGUGCACCAGUUAAGCACUUGCUGAAUAAAGUUGUUGGUCUGAUCAACCAACCGUGGAUGUAGGAAGUGUUUUCCGAACCACGUAAAAAUCUAUGUGUUGUUUACAGCUUUCAGUUUUACAUUCUUACUUGUGCUCUUUCAAUUGAUAAACUGAACACUGACUAAAUGCAAAGAAAAACCUAAGACUAACAACGUGCUCAACAAAGGCUAUUUCGAAAUAAAGUUAUUUCCGCUGCGUAUGUUAUUAGUCUAACCGAUCUAUCCUCUGAUAGUCAGGAAGACUCGUAACAUCUCUGUUUUAGCAAACUCGACUGAAGCCUUAACGUGCAUCAGUUAAGUUCCAGUGACUUAACUGAUAACUCUUUACUGAAGAGUAUUUCAGUAUCAGUCGUCAACCCUGUUUGGUCAAAACUCCUUUCAGUUAACAGGUGUCUAAGUUUGCGUGUAAAGUUUCGUUUUGAUCUCUAUUUUGAGAUCCCUCUAUUUGAGGAAAAAUAGCCUAUAGGUGUAUUCUUUCCCCCCCCAUACACUUAUUCGAGACCCUCCGGACCUAACAUAAGCUAUUUAAAAAUUUAUUUUGUCAAACACAUUGAAGGAGCUUAUAAGCUGUUUUAAAGAGCUUAUAACCUCAGCCAAACACCCUGUAAAUAUCGAGUGUCAGACCAACUCAAUUAAUAACAAGUAAUAUAAAUAACAAUAAAUUUAUGCAGUCACAUUACGGUCACCCCCCAAAUUAGUUUAACAGGGAAAAUUUGAAUUUAUUUAAUUUAUUGUUUUAAUAAAAAUAAGAUUUAGUUAUUUUAUUGUAUUCACUACAUUGUAUUUAUUUUUAAAUUUCAUUUUUUUUUUGCAUUUUUUAUUUUUAUUUUAUUUGUUAAUAAAAAUAAAAAAGUUACAAAAAAUUAUAAAAAUAACUACAAUGUAGAGAAUACAAUUAAAUAAUUAAAUAUUAUUUUUAUUUUAAAAAAUAAAUUAAAUAAAUUAAUUUUGUUUUUCUAUUUAAAUAAUUUGUGGGUGACGAUAAUGUGACUGUUUAGCAUGAUUUUAUAAAUAAAGAUAAUUUACAAGAUGCAAUUAAAUUUAUUGUUUACAUUUUACCAUAGUGAGAGAGAGAGAGAGAGAGAGAGAGAGAGAGAGAGAGAGAGAGGGAGAGAUGUGUUAUUUCAGAGGACCAACUACCCUAAAACUUAUGUGCCUACCAAACCAUUUAAUGCACACCAACUACCAUAUGGUGCCAAAACAAUGUCAACUUAUGUCUUUUUGCAUUCUUCGACCUUUUUAAUUUGUUACUUCAAAAUAAACUUUUUUAAAGUUUUUGAGUCACAGAUAUGUGCUUCAGAUUAAUAAAUUAUUCCAUUAACUAAGCAACUUUUUUAGAAGCCAAGCUUUAAUAUAUACCUUUUAGCUUUCACUAACUACAGUUUUAGAGUGAACCCCACGCACAUGAUGCAAUUGUAUCUCUUUAUAAAUGAUUGCUCAAAAUAAUACCUUCAAAUUUCAAUUCCAUGCACUAACUUAAUUUUUUNAAAAGUAAUUUAAACAUAUUUCUUGCCCAGAAGAGUACUUGAAUACAAAGAACCAGCUACAUAUAUAUAAAUGAACGUAGAUGCAAACCCAUUAAAUAGAUAAUUCAAUGUUUUGCAAUUUCUUGCAAUAAAUUAAAAAUCGGCCCAUAAAACGAAUCAAGAAAGACCACCUAAACUUAGUCCUAUAAUUUCUGGUGGUUAUACAUUGUGGUCGCAGCAUUUCCAGCCGUUGGAAUGGAAUAAAAGAACGUUGAAUAUAUAAAUGGAUUGAUUAUAGGUUAUAUUAUAUCAUAUGUUCCACAAUUUCUUAAAAUAUAUUUCAUCUUUAUAAAAUCUCAAUUUAAUUUAUACAUGACAUUUUAAAAUAUUUUCAAAUAUAUCAAACGACUAAAUUUUCAGCACUAGAUAGAUGACAUGACAUGUCGGAGGCUUAUGUAACCAUAAAGAUUUUGACUUAUACUCUUUACUAAGUAUGGUAUGUCGUAUCAUAAAUAUGCGCCGGAAAUUUAAUCUUGAUGAUAAAUUAAAAAUAUUUUUAAAAAUUAAGUAUAGAAUUGAUAUUUUAUAGAGGCUGUGAUAGAUUUCAAAAAAAUUGUGAUAGCUCGGAAUAGAAACUAUAAUUAACUCUAUAUCAGUAUUAAAUUUGGAAAUAGCAAAUAUAUGUGCAUGUAAAGAAAAAUAACAGUAACACCUUAGAUUUUGAUAACUAAUGAAGCACAAUUUAAUUAGCAAAAUACUUUUUUCAAUUAAUAAGGAUGGGGUCCGAAUCACUAUAAGAGAGAUGGGGAACAUUAUUAAUUGUUCUUUCUAGGAAAAAAAAACCCAGAUUUUCUUAAAGAAACAAACAUAAACAUUAAAAUAAACACAUAUAAUAUAUGGUACGCCACUUUUUAUUUCAUAAAAAAGAAACGUAAAUAGAGUUUUGUAAAGAGAGCGUUCGUGAUAUAGCCAUUUUGAAGAAGAAAACACAAUAAUUGACCACUAAUUGAAAAAACAUAAAUUCUGGUCAUUUUUUACAUGUAAAGAUUGUUUUGCCCUUAAUUAGGGCAGACCAGAUUCGGGUCGAAUUCAGGUUGACGCGCAGGUUAGGCACAUAUGCCAUAUGUGCCAACCGGGAAAAAAAAAUCUAAGUAUAUGUCACUAAUAUGGCCAUAUGUAAGUACCAUUCGUGCAACACUACAUAAUAGAAUAUAUGGCACUAAUAACACUAAUAUGACCAUAAGUACCAUUCGUGCAACACAUUAAAUGAAUAAUCUAAACCCUAAAUGAUACUCCCUCCGUCCACCAAUUAAAGGCCUAUAUAGAAAAACACGGGUUUUAAGAAAAAAGUGUAUUUUUAUUAGUUGAAUGGAGAAAGGGUCCCACUUUUUAAGAAAAAAUGUAUUUUUAUUAGUUGAGUGGAGAAAGGGUCCCACUUUUUUGUAAAGAAUCUUUGACUUUUUGAUUAAAUAAUAGAAAAAACUUACCAAAAAGGCAAGUAGGCCUUGAAUUGGUGGACGGAGGGAGUAAUUUAAACCUUACGGGGAAGUGUUCAAAAUGGCACUAAUGACACUAAUAUGGCCAUAAGUGUCAUUCAUAUGGCACUAAUGACAUUAAUAUGACCAUAAGUAUCAUUCGUGCAACACUGAGUAUAUGUCACUAAUAGUGCCAUAUGUGCCUAACCCGCGCAAACCCGAAUUCGACCCGAAUCUGGUCCGCCUUAUUUAAGGGAAAAACAGUCUGAAAACAUAAAAAAUUGUCAAAAUUUGUAUUUUUUCAAUUAAUGACCAAAUAUUGUGUUUACAUCUUCAAAAUGGCCAUAUGAAUAUAUUAUUUCUUUGUAAAAUAUAGUAGCUUUGGGGUGAACGGUAUUGAUUUAAUGGGGACCUUUUGUUUAUUCAGGUUAUACACAAAAACAAUAUAAGAAGCAGACAUUUAAUUACCAUACAGCCCGUGGGCUACUAACAUGUUUGCUUGAAGGCCCUAAACCAUAUAAUAUUAUCCUGUAGCCCUUUAUCAAUAUACUAUGGUGUAACCCGUGAAAUUCGACGAAACCACUUUACAUCGUAAUUAUCAUUAUAUAUUAUUCAUGUAGUUUUUAUAUAAAUUAUUUUCAAAUUUUAAUUUCAUUUAAUCAAAAUAAAUUGGUGGUACAGUUCAAGCUAUAAUAAUCUCAAUAACUUUCGUCUAUUAUAUGUUAAUCUUUUAUUGAGAGUUAAAAUAGAUUGUCUUCUUAUAAGUUUUUAUUUGAUGAAAUUUCAUAAAAAGUUGGCGUGAGGUUGGAGAUUUUAGGAAAAAAAAGAAAAAAAAAGGAAGAAAAAUAUUUAUGUAUAUUUGUUGGGAACUUUAUGGAAUAUCUUAAUCCUUGUUUUAAUGAUACCAAAAUCCAUAGGUUUCAUUUGUAAUAGACUAGAAAUGCUCUAACUCAAGUGUUAGAGUUCUUUUUCUAGUUUAGUUGUUGUUCUGAAGACUGAAGAACGAAGGACUGAAGACUGAACACUGAAGUUACCGACUGAAGCAACAGUCGAAGAAUCAGUCUAGAACUGAUUACUUAAUGCGAGCUACGUGGAACCAACAGACUGAUACUAAAGUCAAGUAUCAGUUAAACAUUAUUCCUCGGACUGAACCUCCAACGAUCAAAGGAAGCCACAUACUCCAGAAGUACCGUCGCAUUAAAUGCAGAGAUCUCAGGAUCGUCCUUUCUCUGUAGAGGUCAUUCCUAUUUGGUGACUACUUUAUCAGAGACGUCACAUCUCAUGCUCUUCAACAUAGCCGUUCUCACCAAACAAGGAGCCUCGAAGAUUGAAGCCUCAGCCCAAGUUCAAAUUACUCUCUAACGGAAGAAAUCUUAAAGACCUUCUCCGCCAACGGAUCUAUUAAAGACUUCUCCUAUAAGUAGCGCUCAAGGAUCACUUCAAUCUACACUGAUUCAACAAUAUAACCUGAAGCUCUGCCAAAAUUGCUUCUCAGCCAAAGCUCAAAUUCCCAAAGCUUGAAUCGAAGAAAAGAAUCCCAAAGCCAAAAAUCAGUAACUGCUGAUUACAUAAAUUCUCUUAGACCUUAGGCAAACCUUGUUUAUCCAAAGCCUAGGUCAAACUAACUCCAAAUAACUUGUUCUUUGAAGUUCAGUUGGCAAGAUUUCAAACCUCCCUUCGACCGAUAGAAUCGAGUGUUUGAGUUGCAAAGGAGUUCAGGAAGGUACUCUGUCUCCGUGAGGUCCUAGUGUCAGUUCGUGCUAGGAGUGAGAAAUCCAACAAGGUGUGUUGGUGUUGAAGAUUGGAUCUUCAGUUGUUUCGGUUGUGUGCACCCGCAAGCACACGUUUCGGUUUGCAGUGCACCUGUAAGCACUUGCAGAGUGAAGUUGUUGGUCUGAUCAACCGACCGUGGAUGUAGGAAGUGCUUUCCGAACCACGUAAAAAUCUAUGUGUUAUUUACAGCUUUCAGUAUUUCAUUUCUUACUUGUGCUCUUCCUCUCUUCAACUGAAAACUGAUUAAUUGCAAAUAGAAACUUAAGACUAACAACGUGCUCAACCCAAAAGGCUAUUGCGAAACAAAAGUUUUCUGCUGCGUGUGUUAUCAGUCUGACUGAUCUAUCUUCUGAUAGUCAAUGAGAUUUAUAACAUCUCUGUUUAUCAAACUCGACUGAAGUCUUACUUCCAUCAGUUAAGCACUUGUGACUUCACUGAUAACUCCUUACUGAAGAGUCUUUCAGUAUCAGUCGUCAACCCUGUUUUGGUCAAAACUCUUUUCAGUAAACAGGUGUCUGAGUUUGUGUUUGUAGUUUCGCUUUUGAUCUCUGUAUUGAGAUCUUGACAAAAAUUGCCUUUAGGUGUAUUCCCCCCUCCCAUACACCUAUUCGAGACCCUCCGGACCUAACAAUUGGUAUCAGAGCAGGUUGUUCGUAAGAACAAUUCUGUUUCUGAUCAGGUUCUAAUUGAACUAGAUCCUUUUUCAAAGGUCUCGAAAAACUUUUCUCUUUCAAAAAGUACUUGCUAUUUGCCUUAUCUGUUAUUACUUGUUCUCUCUUUUUGAUGGAGACUAACCACAACAGAAUAUCCUCUCUACCUAUGUGUAGUAUUGAAAAAUACGAACUAUGGAAGUUUCGGCUUGAAAGCUUCCUCACCGCACAGCAUUGCCGAAUGUGGGAAGUCAUCACCAACGGACCAAUCAUCAUCAAGUGCAAAACUGCAAAGGAGAUGUGGGACAUUCUUGAAAGAAUGUGCAUCGGAUCCGAGGAAAUAAAGGAGAACAAGCUGUCUGAUCACUAAUUUCUUAGCAACAAAUACCGCAACUAACACGGUGCAAUUGUAGCAAAUAAUAAGUAACCGAGUAUCGUAUCCACAGGGACUGACACAACGAAACUACUUUAGCUAUCUCCUAAACAAACUUAAGUAGUAGACAGGCAACAGAACGUAGAGAUUGGUUGGCUUAAAUUAAAACACAAAUAACAAUAAUAAAAAUCACGUAAGAAAUAUCAAAUAUAAAAGACAACUGAUCCUAGGGUAGUAAAUUCAUUAACUAAAUCUACGUAAUUAAUCUAUUAAUCCUAUGUACCAGUUUAAUCCAGUUAUGAUGAGAGAUCACUUAAUUAAUCAAUUACUCUCGCUAGAGCAGCAACGAUCGUAGAUUAGUAAAUUCUCUAUCUCCGUUAGGUCUCAAGAAAAUCUACUAACUCCCAAUAGCUCCUAAGAAUAGCUCCCUAUGAUCCACCUAUCUCCGCUAGGUCUCAAGGUUAAAAUCAUAUCAUACAUUCCUGAAUCCGCUAAACAGUUAUCUCCGCUAGGUCUCAAACCGAAUAGCUAAACAUGCAAACUAUUCGCCAGAUAAUUCACAAGAAAUUAAGCACCAGGAAUUAUGAAUCAUAAACAUGGAAGGCACAAAGGUAUUAACAAAUAAAUCACAUAAAUUCAAUCAACUAUUUACAAACCCUAGAAUCAGCUAAAGGAAACUAGCUAGACAUAGUAAAAUAAAACAUCAACAUAAUUAAAAAUAACGCAAUUGCAAAAACUGAAAUAUAUGAAAACCGAAUAAAAACUGAAGUAGCGACUUGAAUCUUCAAUCUUGAUCCAAGCCUUGAAAACUAGAAAACAAUAAAAUUCUAAAGCUAAAAAAAACUAAAGUAUGAAUGCUAGGGUUCGGGGGGUGUGUGUCCGUCAAUAGGUCAAAAGAGGACCUAUUUAUAGAUUUCAGAUUUCCUUCGGAUCACCAUAGAAGUUGCCAUGCAAAGUAGAAUUCUAAAGGUAAUAGUGAUGAAACAAGAAACUUUACCCUAAUUAUAAAACGAUAAACGCGAUAAACGAGACAAGAUGUACGUGGUUCGAUCAUAAAUGAUCUACGUCAACGAGAGUUCUUCGUUGUUUUCACUAUACUUUUAGAGAAUUACAUAUUACAAGUGAACAAUCAUGAUGCCUUUAAUGCUUGCUAACCUUCUAUUUAUAGAUGUGAGAGUGAGCCCUACAGGCCCUAGGCCCAUGAACACUAAUAAUUGGAUUUAGGCCUUUUAAUGCCUUAAUACACUUUAGUUUUGACUUGAUCCAUUUGCGAUGUCCUUCGUUGCUCAUGUUGAGUAGCUCCCUUGAGCUGCGCAGGUCUAGUCAUUACUGCCGAGUUAACCUGGGUAGUCUGUGCCGCAAGUCCCGUAGUCUGCGCUGGCGAGUCCCUUAAUCUGCGCUGCCGAGUAAUCUGGGUAAUUUGCGCCGCCAAGUCCCGUAGUCUGCACUGGCGAGUCCCUUAAUCUGCGCCGCCAAAUCCCGUAGUCUGCGCUGGCGAGUCCCUUUAUUAUCUAAGGUCUUCAAUUAAACCUGCGCUGGUUGGCCUCGUUCAAUAAGAAUAAUGAUAACAGUAAUAGUAAUCGAGUAAGAUGUUCCUGUAUUGCUAAGACAGCGCUGAUGAGUAUUCAGUCCUCAUCAGCUACUCCCCCCUAGUCUGGUUGAACUUGUCUUCUUCGUGUUCAACCAGUGUAGCGUAUAGAGUCAGCGCUGUGCUGCUCCCCGAGUAGGGUCCAAGUGUUUUUUAGCCCUGCACCCUGUAACUUAUCCAAUCGUACUUGUAGUGCAAAAAUAAUCAAUGAUAGAAUACAUCCCUGCCAAUUUGUCAACACAAAAAUAUCCCAACUAUGUCAAAAUAUUUAAAAUAACAACAAGAAUAAUAAGAGUGAAGCAACCCUUUCGAACGUGCUCGUUGAGCCCUUUUUUAUUGUUACAGCUCGCAACUAAGGCAGCUCUGGGAGCUCGCGACUUAGACGGCUCUAAGACUUGAAUUUUUUGCAAUUAAUGCCCCUGUUCCUUAGGUUUUGAAUUUUUUAAUCCCUAAAAAUAGGAUAUAAGAGGUGACGGGGGUAUACACCCCAUACUCCCCCCCCAAGUGUCGUGCACGUACUUUAGAAGUCAAGCACGAUGUCGAAGACCUGGAAGAGCUGAGAAGGCACCCGAGUAGAGCUGAAAAGCCGGUGCCGAGGAGUAAACCAAGAGAGCGGUUGAGUUGCCAUUUAAGGCUCAUCCCCUGUCAAUUAGGCAUACAUGAUCCCUGCACUCGUUAGAUAAGAACUUGACAAUCUUUGUAAAAAUAGUAAAGACAAAGUAUUUCAGCGCUGCAAAUGAACCAAGAUAAAAGAGAGUAAUUUUUCCUUUAAAUUAUUUCGACAUCAUCAACGAUGACUAACUUAAGGCUCAAAUAUCCGCAGAGCGGCUGAGUUGCCACUUAAGGCUCAUCCCCAGUCUAACUUUCGCGGCUUACGAUGUUUCUGCGCGGAGCAUAGACAUUGAGGCCUUCGUCGUGCUAAUUAAUGCCUUGAAUUGUGCAAUUAAUGCCGUCUGCAAUUAAUGCCUGAAUUUGCAAUUAAUGCCUUGAAGUUGUGCAAUUAAUGCCCCGAAGAAGUUUUGCAAUUAAUGCCUUGAAGUUUUGCAAUUAAUGCCCCGAAGAAGUUGUGCAAUUAAUGCCUUGAAGUUUUGCAAUUAAUGCCCCUGUCUAACUUUCGCGGCUUACGAUAUUUUUGCCCCGAAGAAGUUGUGCAAUUAAUGAACCCUGUCUAACUUUCGCGGCUUACGAUGUUUUUGGCGCGGAGCAUAGACAUUGUGAACUGACAACGACUCGGACAUUCUGCGCCGACCGAGAUAACUGAGAUAACUGCUUUCCCUGUACUUUGAAAUAGUUGUUCUGACUGCGCUGAGAUAGUCAUACUGGUUGCGCUGAUACAAUCGCACUGACUGCGCUGAGAUAACCACACUGGUUGUACUGAGAUAGCCACACUGGCUGCACUGAGAUAGCCGCACUGGCUGCGCUGAUAUGAUCACUCUGACUGUACUAAGAUAGCCACACUGGCUGCACUGAGAUAGCCGCACUGGCUGCGCUGAGAAAGCUCAGAUACAUUCUGAGGUUGAUAGCUGCGCAGGCUGAGAUAGCCUGUCCUGGCUGCGCUGAGAAAGCUCAGAUACAUUCUGAGGUUGAUAGCUGCGCAGGCUGAGAUAGCCUGUCCUAAUUGUGCUGAGAAAGCUCAGAUAUAUUCUGAGGUUUACAGUUCUGGAUCGUGGUUAAGUUACCAUUUAAGGUUUUAAUAUCCGCUACGCGGCUGAGUUGCCGUUAAGGCUCAAAUAUCUUGCUAAGUUUUUCGAGAAAACACACAUGGUGGCAUAUACUCCAUUCCCCCCUUAGUAACAUGUGCAUGAUUCAACUAAACAUGUUAUGUGUAUAUUUGUGCUUGGUGUCUUUACUUGUGAUGCUAGUGGCAGCGCUGACGUGAUUAUAGUCCCGAAGUAAGUUAUUCAAAUUAUGUUUCAAGCCCUAGGCACAUAUGCAGAAGGUGAAGCCUUAGCAUAUAUAUGUAGAAAGUAUGCAGCUUCAUGUACUUAGUCAAUUUAUAUUCUAGCCCUAGGCACAUAUGCAAAAGGUGUGCAGCUUCGUGUACUUAGUAUCAAAUUCCCAAGUCCCAUCAAAAAUGAUAUAAAUCACUAGUAUGCCCAAGUGUUCAAGUAGAAUAUUUUUCAAAUCCCAAUCAUGCUCACGUGCUUCGAUAACUAAGAUCAUGUAUGAGAAACUUUAGUUCUGCGAAGUACCUGAAUCAUCACUAUUUAGUGGGUUUCCCGUGUUGUAAUAUAGCGUGUAAUCACAUUUGUUCAAAUGUUUUCCCCAAAAUAUGUUUAACCUGCGCCGUAGGAAUUCUUAAGCAAAAGUAUUAGUAACAUAUGAGAGCCCUUCCCAGGGCUGUAAACUCGUUAACAAAGAAGGCAGAAACUCCAAAACAGAUUGAUCGUGACAAUAGAACUAGAAAGGACCGAGUUUGCAAGAAUUAGAACCGAAUCAAUCCUAAGAUCAUAGCAAAGUUAUAGCAUCCGUCCCGACUCCCGAGAUUACCGCCAAAUCGUAGUAAAGUCUAGCAAUAUUGGUCCCAAAAUCAGCAGAAGAUCAUAGCAAUAUUGAGUUCAAAAUUCUGUACAUAUACGUGUAUAUAUUCCCAAUGCAGGUACCAUAAAAGGAACAACAAAUUUGAUAUUUGAACUACAAAUUCAAAUAUUAAAGCAUAGAUGUCAAGUAAUGUAAUCAAGCUCAAUCCCUCGGAAAAUCAUAAUCAAAAGAAACUUCUUCCCGGGCUGAGCAGUAGUGCUUAAUCUUCUUGUCAUACCAGAAAGUUUCUUCGUAUCAAGAAUUUAAUAAAACUUAUGGGGCUGAGCAGAAGUGCUGCAUUAGCACAGCGGCGCAGCUGAUGAACUAUCCCUCGUCCUCCCUGCGCCGCAUCAGCGCAGCGGUGCAGCUGGUGAACUAUCCCUCGGAUAGAAUACAAAGCGGGAUACCUCUAUCGUGUUGAGAAAUCCCGAGCAAGGCUGGUAAUCCCGAGCAAGGCUGGAAGAUCCGUUGUGCGGGCAAACCCGAACAAUGUUGAAAAUUCCCCAAUGCAGCGACAGACAGCACGCAGAGCUGGAACACAGCAAAUAUCCGAGUGAACAUAGCAGUUUUUAAGGACGCAUUCCCUUCCCGGUAAUGACAAAGCUGAGUUUUGGGGCCCUUCCCUCGACACUGCGAUUCUGGCAGAGAUCGAUGCAUUGCAAAGCUCUGGCUUCUCUAUCAAUGCUCUGGAGUGCUUGAGCUGGUAUUAUCAUGUCCUUGCACAAGAAUUCAAACGAGAUCACAAGCAAAGUUAGGAGACUGAAAUAGAGGACUAAGUCCUUCACGAAAGUAAUUGAGAAAGCUCUGAUAAAUGGAGGUCUUCCUGUCGAUUUUCUGGAAUACUCGAGCUGGUAUUGGCAUGUCCCCUCGGUUGAGGGCUGGCUGCGCUGCCGAGCAGCGACAAGAGCGAUAGGCGGCACUGGCUAUGCUGCCGGGCUUCGACAAGGCCACGAGGCGGCGCUGGCUAUGCUGCCGAGCAGCGACAAGGGAGAAAAGCGGCGCUGUUGAGAGGCGGCGCUGGCUGGCUGCCGAGCAGCAACAGAGGAGCAAAGCGGCGCUGUUGAGAGGCGGCGCUGGCUAGCUGCCGAGCAGCAACAGAGGAGAGAGGCGGCGCCGUUGAGAGGCGGCGCUGGCUGGUUGCCGAGCAGCAACAGAGAAGAGAGGCGGCGCUGAAAUGCUUCCCUGAACCCGGCUUUGAUGGAUCUCCAGAAAAGAAGGCCGAUUGGGAGGUUGAUUCUUGGAAUUCUUUUCUGGAUUCUUACGAUAGAGCAGGCAACUCUAUUGAAGCUCUAUCAACUCUGGGCCCUUGCUUCAAAUCUGGUUUGAAGCACCUGACUAGCGAGUACCCAUCGAAGCUCCACGGAGCAGGGGGGACUUUGGAGACGGCAAGCUCCGCUGAGCACCUUGAAUUCUCGUCAAUGGUCCAGUUGUGGAUGGUGUUAUCCACUGAUCCCUCGCGCCCAAAAAUAGCAGAAUCACAAGAGAUUAGCAAGACAAGCAAACAAAAUUUUGAGGAUUCAGUUCAACAUGAAACAUAUUGAGUUCGAAUAACGUGAUCAAGUUCAACUUCAUAGGAAAUCGAAUGUAGUGCAAGCCUUUGCAACAAUGUGACUCGUAUCGUGCUAUGUCCCAUUCUUAGAAUCAAUCAAGUCGCAAUGAAAAUACACUAUUAAUCCUGAAAUCUAUGCAAUAAUAACCGCAGUUCAUCAGUCAAACUUAGGCGAAGUCUCACGUUGUUUUAAUGAUUUUUCAAGUGUUCCCAUAACCGAACCAAUAAUCGGCCCCUUGAUGCGCCCAUAACAAUCCAAUAUGGGAUCAAGUAAUUCAUGCAUGAAUACUUUGUACAUGCUACUUGGGAAGUAUAUGUAACUUCAUCUAGUUUAAAGCAAACAAAUGCCAACAUGCGAAUCCAAG
rnacentral:lncRNA from 1 species